rnacentral:tRNA from 1 species
UAAGUGUUAAGUUAAGAAAACUAGAGGCCUUCAAAGCCUCAAUUGGUGAGAGCUAUACUUUA